rnacentral:rRNA from 1 species
GAUGAACGCUGGCUGCGUGCCUAAUACAUGCAAGUCGAGCGAACGGACGAGAAGCUUGCUUCUCUGAUGUUAGCGGCGGACGGGUGAGUAACACGUGGAUAACCUACCUAUAAGACUGGGAUAACUUCGGGAAACCGGAGCUAAUACCGGAUAAUAUUUUGAACCGCAUGGUUCAAAAGUGAAAGACGGUCUUGCUGUCACUUAUAGAUGGAUCCGCGCUGCAUUAGCUAGUUGGUAAGGUAACGGCUUACCAAGGCAACGAUGCAUAGCCGACCUGAGAGGGUGAUCGGCCACACUGGAACUGAGACACGGUCCAGACUCCUACGGGAGGCAGCAGUAGGGAAUCUUCCGCAAUGGGCGAAAGCCUGACGGAGCAACGCCGCGUGAGUGAUGAAGGUCUUCGGAUCGUAAAACUCUGUUAUUAGGGAAGAACAUAUGUGUAAGUAACUGUGCACAUCUUGACGGUACCUAAUCAGAAAGCCACGGCUAACUACGUGCCAGCAGCCGCGGUAAUACGUAGGUGGCAAGCGUUAUCCGGAAUUAUUGGGCGUAAAGCGCGCGUAGGCGGUUUUUUAAGUCUGAUGUGAAAGCCCACGGCUCAACCGUGGAGGGUCAUUGGAAACUGGAAAACUUGAGUGCAGAAGAGGAAAGUGGAAUUCCAUGUGUAGCGGUGAAAUGCGCAGAGAUAUGGAGGAACACCAGUGGCGAAGGCGACUUUCUGGUCUGUAACUGACGCUGAUGUGCGAAAGCGUGGGGAUCAAACAGGAUUAGAUACCCUGGUAGUCCACGCCGUAAACGAUGAGUGCUAAGUGUUAGGGGGUUUCCGCCCCUUAGUGCUGCAGCUAACGCAUUAAGCACUCCGCCUGGGGAGUACGACCGCAAGGUUGAAACUCAAAGGAAUUGACGGGGACCCGCACAAGCGGUGGAGCAUGUGGUUUAAUUCGAAGCAACGCGAAGAACCUUACCAAAUCUUGACAUCCUUUGACAACUCUAGAGAUAGAGCCUUCCCCUUCGGGGGGGCAAAGUGACAGGUGGUGCAUGGUUGUCGUCAGCUCGUGUCGUGAGAUGUUGGGUUAAGUCCCGCAACGAGCGCAACCCUUAAGCUUAGUUGCCAUCAUUAAGUUGGGCACUCUAAGUUGACUGCCGGUGACAAACCGGAGGAAGGUGGGGAUGACGUCAAAUCAUCAUGCCCCUUAUGAUUUGGGCUACACACGUGCUACAAUGGACAAUACAAAGGGCAGCGAAACCGCGAGGUCAAGCAAAUCCCAUAAAGUUGUUCUCAGUUCGGAUUGUAGUCUGCAACUCGACUACAUGAAGCUGGAAUCGCUAGUAAUCGUAGAUCAGCAUGCUACGGUGAAUACGUUCCCGGGUCU